rnacentral:rRNA from 1 species
GACCGGCUUCUAAUCGUCCU